GCGGGUGUCGUAUAACGGCUAUUAUUCCAGCCUUCCAAGCUGGCGAUGCGGGUUCGAUCCCCGCCACCCGCUCCA
rnacentral:tRNA from 1 species